rnacentral:rRNA from 1 species
UACGAAGGGGGCUAGCGUUGCUCGGAAUCACUGGGCGUAAAGGGUGCGUAGGCGGGCUUUUAAGUCAGGGGUGAAAUCCUGGAGCUCAACUCCAGAACUGCCUUUGAUACUGAAGAUCUUGAGUUCGGGAGAGGUGAGUGGAACUGCGAGUGUAGAGGUGAAAUUCGUAGAUAUUCGCAAGAACACCAGUGGCGAAGGCGGCUCACUGGCCCGAUACUGACGCUGAGGCACGAAAGCGUAGGGAGCAAACAGG